UUUAAGCUUCCUACGGGAGGCUGCAGUGGGGAAUCUUGCGCAAUGGGCGAAAGCCUGACGCAGCCAUGCCGCGUGAAUGAUGAAGGUCUUAGGAUUGUAAAAUUCUUUCACCGGGGACGAUAAUGACGGUACCCGGAGAAGAAGCCCCGGCUAACUUCGUGCCAGCAGCCGCGGUAAUACGAAGGGGGCUAGCGUUGCUCGGAAUUACUGGGCGUAAAGGGAGCGUAGGCGGACAUUUAAGUCAGGGGUGAAAUCCCGGGGCUCAACCUCGGAAUUGCCUUUGAUACUGGGUGUCUUGAGUAUGAGAGAGGUGUGUGGAACUCCGAGUGUAGAGGUGAAAUUCGUAGAUAUUCGGAAGAACCCCAAUGAAAGGAGGCGACACACUGGCUCAUUACUGACG
rnacentral:rRNA from 1 species